UACUAAACACUAAUCAAUAUGUAAACAGGCCCUAAGGCAAGCAAGUGUACACGCUUGUAGAGGCCUUAUAGGAAAAAAAUAAAUUAUCGAUUAUCUCCGAAAUGGAGUUAAUUAGAAUAUCGGUGUCUUUGAGAAAGUUACUUGAUUUAAGCUCAGGAAUGCACCCUUGAAAUUAAC